UUACGGACAUAUCACGUUGAAACAUUGGUUCUCGUCCGAUCACCGAAAUUAAGCAACAUUGAACCUGGUUAGUACCUAGAAGAAUGACCGCUUUGGAAUACAACGUGCUGUAA